ensembl:lncRNA
UUUAUUUCUUAAAAAUCUAGUUUAUUGCACUUGUCUCAAAGCACAAACAAAACAAAAAACCUAAAUACAGAAAUAAAAGUAAAAAACCCAUCCUAAUUUCAUUAAAACUACCCUAAAAAGUAGUCUUAUAAGAGCUCUUGACACCAAUUUAAUAUUAAUGACCAUAGCAAGGUACAGUAUUAUACAGUAAACAAACAACUAGCAAGCUCAAGCCAUUUCUAAGAUGACUUUGAAAAACGUAAUACAAAAGUGUCACUAUUAAAUACCGUCAUUGUACUUGAGCAUCUGGUGCUUGGCAGGGCACAGAGAAGUACUCAUGUCCCUUCUCCAAAGUGACUGACUCAGGUCUGCCACAAGAUACUUUUAAGCUGAAUUCCAGCUUCUUGGCGUUCUCAAGAUACCAAGCUAUGCUUGCAUAAAACAGACCGGGUUACUUCACAAGCUGAUUCUAUUACAAUUCACUGCCAGACAGGCUAAAAAAACCCUCUGGGGUAAUCUCCAUAUACGGAUGAGAUAGCAAUGAAGCAAACAUAUCAUCUGUAAAAGGGAAACAAAUCUGUACUCCCUGUAAGACUGAAAGAUCAGACUGAGAACUGAUAGCCAGCAUCACAAGUACUAAUAAAACCAAACUGACAUAACUUGGUUCUCUCCACUGAUUCACAUUCUCACCUUGCACCAUGUUUGUUCCAAGUUUAGUGCAGUACGCACAUGAACUAUUCUGAAAGAGAACAAAGGUUAAAAAGAAAACACAUCCUUUUCCAUAUGUAUUAAGUUCUCAAAACAGAAACAUCCCCACUUUUCAACUCUUGGCCUUUUCUGAAACUGGCUCUUUUACAUUAUUGGUUAGCAGCUGCUUAAAACAUUCUGAUGAUUUAUAAGCUUAGAACAAACACAAAAUAACUCCUCCACCUACAUACCAAACUCAGGUUCUCUCAUCUAUAUUUCUAUUGCUUAAAAAAGAUGAGGUAUCUUUCAAAGAAGAUUUAGCUUAAAGAAAAAUAAACUGCAAUGAUUAACUUAGGUUAUUUCCCAGUUCAUCACAUACCUCUGCUGCAACAUCUGUUAAGUAUAAGACACUUCAAAAUUUAGCUAACAUAGCUAAAAAUCAGAAUAUUGUUAAGUAUUUUCUCACAAUAUCACAAUUUUUAAUGGGAUAUAUAGGUAAUUCUAUCAAUUACCAUUUUUCCUUUUAAUACAUCUAAGUACAGUACUCAAAACAAUUUGAGUCCAAAUGUUAAAGCACUGGCUGGAGGCACAAAUACAGCACAACAGGAAUUAUGAAAGCUGCCUUAUACAUUCCUGCUUUGUACUACAACCCAACAUGCAACUUCUUCCUAUUCCAAAGUGGGACUUAUC